AUAUCUGAGAGAAAAAAAAGUUUAUUUGUUAUGUAAAGCUGAGUUUCAGAAUGGUAUCACCCACCUGCUUGGUUAUUAGAUGGUCUAGCAGUUUAAAAUGUAACACGCUGUUUUUGCAACAAUCUUAUUAAAAUCGGUUCAUAUACACCCCCAGGAAUGAGACUUUGUUGUAAAUUUUCUGACAAUGGAGCACUUCUUUCAUAGAAUGUAUGGGAAUGACAUAGUAAGGCAUUUGUGAAAAUUGUAUAGCAAUAUAGUGGGGAAGCGGCCUUACGUUUGGACAAUUAAGUCACUGCAGUAAAUUAAACAUCUGUCCUGUUCAGGACCUGAGUCUAUGCAGACCGUGCACCAUAGUCAAUCAGAUACAGUAGGCAAAUCAAUUUUCAACAAUGGCCUGCCAUCAUUCACUUUAAACUGGACUGUGUGAUUACAGGCCGUAGCAACAGUYUGCCUUUAGAUCAUUAGAACGCAUUUGCCAAAAGCCACCUGACUGGAUUUCUGCAAAUGUGUAAAUACUACGGGAGUCCUCCUACAGUUGCGAACUUCAUAGCCCUAUUGAUGAAAACCAUGAAAAGACGCUGUCAUGAAGCACUUCCCAGGUGCAACAAAGGGACAAGUGGGAACGGCUUAAAACAGUAAAAUGGCUGAAUUGAGAAGCGAUGAAAGAAAAUGAAUAUGAUUAAAUUCA